rnacentral:rRNA from 1 species
AGUGAACGCUGGCGGUAGGCCUAACACAUGCAAGUCGAACGGCAGCACAGUAAGAGCUUGCUCUUACGGGUGGCGAGUGGCGGACGGGUGAGGAAUACAUCGGAAUCUACUUUUUCGUGGGGGAUAACGUAGGGAAACUUACGCUAAUACCGCAUACGACCUUCGGGUGAAAGCAGGGGAUCUUCGGACCUUGCGCGAUUGAAUGAGCCGAUGUCGGAUUAGCUAGUUGGCGGGGUAAAGGCCCACCAAGUCGACGAUCCGUAGCUGGUCUGAGAGGAUGAUCAGCCACACUGGAACUGAGACACGGUCCAGACUCCUACGGGAGGCAGCAGUGGGGAAUAUUGGACAAUGGGCGCAAGCCUGAUCCAGCCAUACCGCGUGGGUGAAGAAGGCCUUCGGGUUGUAAAGCCCUUUUGUUGGGAAAGAAAAGCAGCAGGUUAAUACCCCGCUGUUCUGACGGUACCCAAAGAAUAAGCACCGGCUAACUUCGUG